UGAGAGCCUCGUUCUGCCCUGGAAUUGAAAU
rnacentral:piRNA from 1 species